GUGACUAUACAUCAGUUUUGAUGUGUCUUUUUCUAGCAGGAGGGAUACCAAUCUUGAUGAAUGGCCAAGAGGAAAGAUCUUUCUGAGAGCUGCCGUGACAGAUGGUAACAGGGAUGACUGGAGUGAAUAUUAGUGACCCAUGUGGUGGAUACCAAAGGAGGAAUUGGAAAACAGAGGCACACGUCAUUUUUAGCUGUGGGUGAAACUAGGACUGAAGGAAAGGAAAAUAGUGGUACUGCUAUCUGCGUUCCUUGAGAUGAAACCGCUUUGUGAAGUGGAAAUAGAGGCUGCAAAAUGAGGAAAAAAAAACGAAUCAGAGACUGCAGAUUAAUUCUCAUCCACUUUCAAUGUCUGGCAAAGCUUGUCUUAGUCCAAGCUACAAUGUAAUCAGUAUAUGCCUAUUACCAUGCAUAUCCUGUGGUUCAGAUGGGCCAGGAUCAUGGCAGUCAUAGACAGAUUGACUUUUUUCAGACUCAAGUGGAGAUAACCACUCCACUCAAGUGGAGACACGAGCGGAUAGAAGCUCUGGCAGCCCUUUAAGAUUAGACCCUGCCUUGCAAGACAGUGCUCUGGGUAUUGUCCCUGAAAAUCAGGUUUCCAAGGGACAGAAACUUGGACGUGCAGAGCAGAGCGAGUUGUGGAGUGCUGAUCCAGGCUGGAAGACCAGGACACAGACCGAGCCUUGCAACUCAGCCACCUGGCAGUCUGGGCAAGCCAUAGCUUUUCAGCGGUGUGCCUGAAGUAAUACUCUGUUGCAAACUGGGGAGUUGAAUAGUACAAUCACAAGAAAGAACGAACUUGCUGGGUAAUAUUUUGUAGCAUUUUCAGAGGUAAGCUCAAUAACUGCGAGCCCUAAAAUUAUUUGUUUAGCACCCCGAUAACAGCUCUUCCAAAGACAGUGGUUUGGGGUGAAUGUUCCUCUGGUCUGAUUUCAUAUUGAUUACAAUAUGUACAGAGUUCAACUUUCAAUUCUUUCCCCCCGUCAAGGGGGAAGAAGGAUAGUUCCCUCUCUUAGGUGUGGAAUCUUGUUGCUCUACUUCCAGUGAUGAAAACUACUGAAGUGUUGAGCUUUUAUCCUUUCUCCUUAUGUUAAGGCACCUGUUUUGGCAUAUCAUCAGAUCCCAUUGGCAAACUCCCAAAAAUGAUACCUCUUUAGUAGUCUCCUGAUAGAUGGUUUCCUGGUAAGAUCUGUAAGUUGUACGGUGCCUUUUAUUUUUCAGUACUUUCUUAUUAGAGUAAUUUUAAUUAUUCUAUAGUCAUCUAUUCCAUAGUCAUCUUCAUUCUCAGAUGCAGUGAUUGGAGCUUCUCACAACUUCCUAUGCUUCAUUUCCCUCCUGUGACUGAGACCAUCCAAAGUUGUGAGACUACCCAUACAGAACAUUUAUGAAAAAUUGAAUCUUCCCCUAAUAAUGCAGAUUGCCAUAGAUCCUGGAAAACUGCAAGU